rnacentral:rRNA from 1 species
UAAUACGAAGGGUGCAAGCGUUAAUCGGAAUUACUGGGCGUAAAGCGUGCGUAGGCGGCUUUUUAAGUCGGAUGUGAAAUCCCCGGGCUCAACCUGGGAAUGGCAUCCGAUACUGGGGAGCUAGAGUUUGGGAGAGGGUGGUGGAAUUCCCGGUGUAGCGGUGAAAUGCGUAGAGAUCGGGAGGAACAUCAGUGGCGAAGGCGGCCACCUGGCCUAAAACUGACGCUGAGGCACGAAAGCGUGGGGAGCAAACAGG